UACAGAGGUCUCAAGCGUUGUUCGGAUUCAUUGGGCGUAAAGGGUGCGUAGGCGGCGCGGUAAGUCGGGUGUGAAAUCUUGGAGCUUAACUCCGAAACUGCAUUCGAUACUGCCGUGCUUGAGGACUGGAGAGGAGACUGGAAUUUACGGUGUAGCGGUGAAAUGCGUAGAUAUCGUAAGGAAGACCAGUGGCGAAGGCGAGUCUCUGGACAGUUACUGACGCUGAGGCACGAAGGCCAGGGGAGCAAACGGGG
rnacentral:rRNA from 1 species